CCCUUAGAUGUCCUGGGCGGCCCGCGCGCUACAAUGUCAGCUACUGAAGGUUAAUGCUUUGAAAGAGAGCGCGCUCUCCUUUUAAUUGCUCGCAUGCUGGGAUAAAUGAAUGCAAUUUUGUUUUGAACGAGGAAUUCCUAGUAGCCAUGUUUCACUAGAAGAUGGCGAAUGCGUCCCUGCCCUUUGUACACACCGUCCGUCGCUCCUACCGAUGAGCGUUUUGGCGAAGACGGUUUGAGUAGCUGCGUAAUUUCGUGUUGUUGACUCCGGCAGUUUGAGCCUUCACGUUUAGAGGAAGGAGAAGUCGUAACA
rnacentral:rRNA from 1 species